UCCUAUAGGAACUAAAAUUCCUAUAGGAAUAGUUUAAACUUUCUACUGGAAUUCCUAUAGGAAUUUUAGGUUCCUAUAGGA